rnacentral:rRNA from 1 species
UACGAAGGGUGCAAGCGUUAAUCGGAAUUACUGGGCGUAAAGGGUGCGUAGGCGGUUGUUUAAGUCAGGUGUGAAAGCCCCGGGCUCAACCUGGGAAUUGCAUUUGAGACUGAAUAGCUAGGGUGCGGAAGAGGGAAGCGGAAUUUCCGGUGUAGCGGUGAAAUGCGUAGAUAUCGGAAGGAACACCAGUGGCGAAAGCGGCUUCCUGGUCCAGCACCGACGUUCAGGCACGAAAGCGUGGGGAGCAAACAGG